rnacentral:ncRNA from 1 species
AGAACUGAUAAUAUUUAGAAUCAAAUGAAGGUGUAACGCCCUGAAGGGUUCUCCCUAAUACUCCGACAUGCUUAUAUAUAGCAAGAUAUAUAAGUAUGAAGCUCGGUGAAGUCGGCUAAGAUUUUCCCCUAACAGUUUUAUAACUGAGGAAAUGUGAAUCAGAAAUGAUCAAGGAAUUUAUAGGCCGGGGGUCAAUAA